AGCGAACGCUGGCGGCAGGCCUAACACAUGCAAGUCGAACGAACUCUUCGGAGUUAGUGGCGGACGGGUGAGUAACACGUGGGAACGUGCCUUUAGGUUCGGUAUAACUCAGGGAAACAUGUGCUAAUACCGAAUGUGCCCUUCGGGGGAAAGAUUUAUCGCCUUUAGAGCGGCCCGCGUCUGAUUAGCUAGUUGGUGAGGUAAAGGCUCACCAAGGCGACGAUCAGUAGCUGGUCUGAGAGGAUGAUCAGCCACAUUGGGACUGAGACACGGCCCAAACUCCUACGGGAGGCAGCAGUGGGGAAUCUUGCGCAAUGGGCGAAAGCCUGACGCAGCCAUGCCGCGUGAAUGAUGAAGGUCUUAGGAUUGUAAAAUUCUUUCACCGGGGACGAUAAUGACGGUACCCGGAGAAGAAGCCCCGGCUAACUUCGUG
rnacentral:rRNA from 1 species